rnacentral:rRNA from 1 species
UGAGGAAUUUUCCACAAUGGGCGAAAGCCUGAUGGAGCGACACCGUGUGUGCGAUGAAGUCUUUCGGGAUGUAAAGCACUGUCAGGGGGGACGAUAUUGACGGUACCCCCAGAGGAAGCCACGGCUAACUACGUGCCAGCAGCCGCGGUAAUACGUAGGUGGCGAGCGUUAUCCGGAAUUAUUGGGCGUAAAGCGCGUGUAGGUGGUUUUGUAAGUCAGAUGUUAAAGUCUCCGGCUCAACCGGAGUUCGCAUUUGAUACUGCAAGACUAGAGAGAUUCAGAAGAAAGCGGAACUUGCGGUGUAGCGGUGAAAUGCGUAGAUAUCGCAAGGAACACCAGUGGCGAAGGCGGCUUUCUAGGAAUUUUCUGACACUGAGACGCGAAAGCUAGGGGAGCAAACGGG